rnacentral:lncRNA from 1 species
GCGGCGCGGGCGCGGGGACGCGUGCAGAGCGUCGCGAGCGCGGCACGGGCAGAGGCGCGCUGACGGUCACCUCCAGCACGCGCCGGGGAGGCAGCGCACCGCGAGCCACAGCACCGUUCUCUGCUGCUGCCGCGCGUGGAUCGCCGCGACCACCGCUGCAGAAGCCGCGGGCGAGCACCAGUGAGCCCCAGAGACCCACAGCCUGGGCGGCUGCUGCUCCCGGAUGCCAGGGCCAGGGCGCCGGACGGCUGCCAGCAGGAGGAUGAAGAGCUCGGCGGGUGGAAGGAGAGAAAAGCUUCUGGUUGCGUCCAAAGCUCAGCUUUGCCACAGAAAAAAAGCCAGCUUAAAUUCUCCACUCAUACUUAACCUGAUAUUUGAAUUGCACGGAGGUAAGCAAUUCAGAUCUUCAUGCUAUGUCUGUG